GUGCUUACAAUCUGGAGACGGCAGAAGAUGAUAACCAGAUGAGAUACCUCCAGCUGGACCAGUCUCUCACAGUCUACCUACAGUAGAACAUUCCCUCAUCUGAGGAGAGUGACAGAGCUGACGUGACAUGUUGUCUUCAGACAUUGCUGAAGCAAUUAAAAUUGAGCACCUUACUUUUGGACACGAUGUCACUGCUGGACACUGCGGGUGAAGAAGGUGCAUAGCUUGAACGAAUGGACAGUACAUAAAAAUAUAUGCCAUGAAUGUUUCUAUGUAUAAAAGUGUCUUCCAAGCGACUGAAUAUAACAGCCUGUUGGUACAGAUGUAAUGGUUAGCAUGUUGGCGUGGGAUGGGGAGGCGGCAGCCUACCUGCUUGCUGAAACACUGAUCCUCGGUGCCCAGGGUCUUUCUGCAGCUGGAACUCUCGAAGAGUGAACACUGAGGCCGCUAGAGGAAGAAAAAUCACCAUCAUCAUCAUCAUUGUGCACAGAUACAGAUACAGGAAACACACACACCAUCAUCAUCACCAUCAUUUUGCCCAGAUACAAGAUAUGCACAAAUACAUCAUCAUCAUCAUCACCCAUCAUCCAUCACAUUCCUAUCAUUGCCAUGACGAUGUGAUUGAGGCUGUUUCACUCUGACUGAGGACACUGUUUUUUUUGCAG